rnacentral:lncRNA from 1 species
CCCUCCUAUCCCACCGGAGAACGGGGUCCUCACUCCCAGCUUCAGCCGAGCCCUGGCCCCGCAACUGCCUGAAGGCACGCCCCCUGCACCUGCCCACCUCAGGUCCCGCCUCCAGCCCAGUGGCCAAGAUCGCGGGUCUCUACAAUGACUUGGAGCCACCCCGGAAGACCAUGCGCAGAGGGGUGCUGAUGACCCUGCUGCAGCAGUCGGCCAUGACCCUGCCCCUGUGGAUUGGGAAGCCUGGUGACAAGCCCCCACCCCUCUGUGGGGCCAUCCCUGCCUCAGGAGACUACGUGGCCAGACCUGGAGACAAGGUGGCUGCCCGGGUGAAGGCCGUGGAUGGGGAUGAGCAGUGGAUCCUGGCCGAGGUGGUCAGUUACAGCCAUGCCACCAACAAACACCUCCUAUGCAGACGGCUACUCCCCUCAUCUCAGUGUGGCCCAGAGGUACCUGGUAGCUUCUAAGGAGCCCAAGAAAAAGUGACGCUGCCCGGCGGACUCGACGUCCUCCACCAUCUUGGGGCAGGACAGCAGAGGAUGUGCUGGGAUUAAACAGACAUCCCCCCUCCA